ACAGUUUUGUUGGAGUUCCGCUGAACUGUGUCUUCUGGCUACUGAGAGCCUGGGGGUUUGGGGGUAGGUAUAUUUCACACAUUGUGGAAACUGUGACAUUGGAUUGUUCCGAGGGAAGUAAGGACAGGGCUGAAUGACUAGGAGAAAUAUGCUGGGAUUUGAAUUCUGUAUGACAUUAAAUAUGUAAACAGUUAUGACCAGAACAUACAUAAAAAUAGAAUUCUGACCCGCAAUGUGCAGCCACUAGUUCAGCAAACAAGCCCACAACUCCUAUAACAAUUGGCACCAAAUGACUAGGAUGUAAUCAAUGGCUGGAUAUAACUGCUGGCUUCCCAAAAGUGUGUUCCCCUUCCAAUUUAGGACCAAUGAGAGAAGGCCAAACAUGCUCCCCUCACCAAUCACAUAGGAAGCCCCCAUGUCUAGUUAUCCUGCCUCCAGCUCCUCCACGUCCACACCUCCAACUGGGGCACACCUGGAUCCUUCUCCUUCUCACUAGAAAGCUUCCCGCUUCUUUACCUGCCUGUGAGUCUCUGCCAAAGGCAAGUGAUAGUGGCUGGCUCCAUUGCUACAGAAAACUCUGGAUAAAUACCCUUCGCUUGUUCUCAUUUGGGUGGUCUUCCCUUAUUUCCAUACCUGGCUCCUUCUGAGACCUCAUCCAAAACAUGUUGCUGGGGACCUGGGGAGAGGGAAGGCAGACUCUGAACCUGAGCUCUUCAUUUUUCUCAGUGUUUGGGCAGAAGGCAAUUCUUCAUCCGGGCUGAUGCUGGCAACAUCUGGCAAGUUAGUCCAACAUCUUCAUCAUGUGUAGCAUAGAAGUAUGAUUGGGUAGGAGGGCUGUCGGCUGGCACAGAUUCUCCAAGACAUUGCUGUUUAAAGGUGUGUGUGUGUGUGUGUGUGUGUGUGUGUGUGUGAGUGUGAGUGCGUGCACGUGUUUUCCUGAAAUCAUUUACCUUUUUUAUAAGAAUAAAGCCCAUAAUGGCUGUCAUCACCUCAGAGUUUGAAGCUGUACAAGUGGCCUGCAUGAUGUGUUCUCCUUCCCAGAGAAUAUAUACAGAGUAUGUGCACAUUUUUCUGGCCCUAGGUCUGAAUCCUGGCUUUACCAUUCUCCAUCCCUGUGAACUUGGGCAAGUUACUUGGCCCCCCAGUGUCUAAAAGUCUCCCUGUGUUUAGUUCAUGGACAUUUCCAUGCUGCACGAUUGGUCUAAGUGUGGUCUACACACUACCUGUGUAGUGUGUAAAAUUCCCUGGGGUGUUAGUUAAGCAUACAGAUUCUGGGCCCCGCUCCAGAACUCAUGUAUCAGAGUCUCUGGCAGUGGGCAGAGAACUGCGAGACUGGCCAGCUCUGCGAGUGACCUCUCUACUCACUUGAGUUUAGGACUCUCAAGGUUAUUGCAUCUUGGGUAGUUGAGAGGUUAUAGUGAUGAGCAAGACCCAGUAUUCCUCCUCACCAAGGGCUAGUGUACAGAUACAUCUAAGGCAAAGGAAAUUGCAAAAACCAGAGAAACAGAAGAAACAAGAGCCAUGGGAAGAAGAGACGAAUUCCAAUCUGAGAAAUCCAGGAAGUUUGUAUGAAAGAAGUGUUUUGAAAGAGAGGUAGAUUUCAUAAUGCAGACAUGGAGAAAGCGAUGGAAGAGACCAGCAAGAGCAGAGACACAGUCUCUGUCAACUUUUGCUGAGUAAAAAACCACUCCAGUGGUUAGCUUCAAACACCAAUGUUAACUAUGGUGUCUGAGCCCACUGAUCAGCUGAAUGUUUCUACGCAUCUGGAUCAGGUAUGGUUGGUCUCUCAGGCUGGCUUGCUCAUGGGUCUGCAGUCAGCUGGGGGACUGGCUGGUCUAGGGUGGCCUCACUCGUACCCCUGGUGUCAGCUGGCUGGGCUGGGGUGAUAUGGGUGACAGAGCCAGUACCCUCUUCACCCCACAGGCUAGCCUGGGCUUCUGCAUAUGGCGGCACCAGGGUUCCAGGGGGAAGAGCAGAAGCCUGCCAGAACUUUUGAGGCUUAGACUUGCAACUUGCAUAUCCUCACUCCUGCUGCAUUCUUUUCGCCAAAUCAAGUCAUGGUCCAGCCCGGAUUUAGGGAGAAAUUGCCCCCAUGACUUGAUGGGACAAGCUGCAAAAUACAGAAAUCUAUCACAGAUUCCAAGGCAGGAAAAUGCUAAGGAUCUUCCUGGAACACCAGAGAGCAGGUGUUUGUGGAGGGCAAGGAGACACCCGAAGGGCCAUGACUGUGAGUUUCCAAAGCUUCACUGUAACCGGUCCCUCCCGUAGCUGUUGAAUGCCCACAGUUGGCAGCUGAGGCCCACCAGUGGGAAGGGGCAGUGGAGUGUUCCCCGCAUCUGACAGAAGGUGAGCAUUUUAUUUUAUUUUUAUUUUUAUUUUUUAAAUAUUUAAUUUAUUUAUUCAUGAAAGACAGAGAGAGAGGCAGAGACACAGGCAGAGGGAGGAGCAGGCUUCAUGCUGGAAGCCCGAUGUGGGACUCGAUCCUGGGACUCCAGGAUUACAUCCUGAGCCAAAGGCAGAUGCUCAACCACUGAGCCACCCAGGUGUCCCAAGGUGAGUAUUUUAUCAUUGACAUUCCUUAGAAUUAUUGGCACAGGGUGCCAAUAACAAAGCAGACUAAAUUUCAGUCACUCUCAGUGUAUUUUUGUUUUUUUAAUUCUCUACAGACAACAUACUCUCUUGUUGCCCGCUCGCAGGGCAGGCCACUCCCACUGUCACUCCCUCGUUGAGCUGCUGCCAGAGUUACACCCAGCAUCCAUAGGGUAGAGCCCCACAUGAGGAAUGGGUGGUGAGGAAGAGGAAGAUCUUUGUUCUCCAUCGCCGAGAGGCUCCACGUGGUCCAUGGGUCCAUGUAUUACAGUGCCACAGGGCCAUGCCAAAGCCCAGUUGGAUGCCAUUUGUCUAAGGGAUACAUAGUACUGUCCCUGCUUCAUGGAUGAGGGACCAGAAGGCCAAAGAAGCCUAGAGACUGGCCAAAAGGCACGUAGCUAGGACAGACACUGGAGGGUUGACUAUGGAGUUAGUAGAUCUGUAGAAAGAAGGGACCUUCUGUGGAGCAUUUGAGGACAGGAGAGCCUCCACUGAUCUGUUUUUUGGGGGGCAGCCAUGGUGCUAACCAUUCACGGUGGGAAACCUGCCCUCAAGGCAGGAAUAUGGUUAGCCACCAGCUCUGGGGAGAGGAGCCCUGGGUGGUCGUGCUUGCCAAUUGCUCUGAUGUAAUCACUCCCAGCAUGGCCACACUAUGGACAUGAUGUCACUGAAUAGAGCUGGGAAGAGAUGCACUCAGAGGGCUCUUGGGAACCAGCAGAAGGGGCUCCCGAACGCCGUGACUGAGGGCAUGAAUGAAGGAGAAGUUGAGGCCAGACACACCAUGGGAGGUAAGUGAUGCUGCCGGCUGGUCCGUGGGCAUCUGGCUGGUUCUGAAUGCCCUGUGGUCUCUUUGAUGGGCUGUGCCAUCUUUAGGGCUUCUUGGUCAUGCCUCUUCUGAAGGAUUUGAGCCAUUUGCAGCUAAGGAACUCCCGGCUGUGGGCAGUGGGAGGGGUUGCACACUGUUCUACUCUCAGGAGGGAAAGCAUCCAAGAUCUUCACAAGAGUGAGGCUUGCAAAACAACUGGUCUCAAUGGUCGAAGAGGCUCUGUGGGCCUGAUGGAUGAGCCAGAGGAGAAUGACGGCUUCCUGACCUUGGGGACACCAGAGGAGAAGUGCUGGGAAGGCAGUGAGGGACCUCCCACCUGAGCCUGGCUUCACGGUGUGGAGACCGAGCUGAAGGAAGGAGGAAAAUUUGCUAUCAACGAACCUGUGCAGAACAAUGGCAACCAGAUAAGACCCAAGGACCCAGGAAAAGGGCUUUGAUAUUGUUAUUACUAUUCUCCAGUGGCAUCUUAAGGACCUCAGGUGGAGGACAGUGCCUGGCACGUGGCAUCCACUCAGGCACUGCCAGCCACUGGGCCCUCCCGUGAAGACACCGAGACUGGUCUGUCUGGGAGAGGCUUUGCCUCAACUGAAGUCAUCCCAGGACCUGGGAGAGCACUGAGCCAUUCUCUGGAGGAGGCUCCGGAGGAGUGGGCAUUUUGCUGACAUUCCCCUGUGACUGAAGCCCCAUCCCAGCCCUCCCCACUUUCUCAAAAGUCCUCCCUAAUGGGAACAUUUUGUUAAAUAUAACGUCCACGCGCAUACUGCUCUCUGUUCAUGAUGUUCCUGCCACUUAGCCUGUCACUGGGUCCCCUCCCAGGCCUGGAAACUGUGCUGCUGAUGGGCCCCUGGGUGGGCCGCGCUCCUUCCAUUAAGUCUGAAAGAUAAGCUCUCCCAGGCCCUCUGCUGCCCCAGCAACCCUGUUUUUCUUUACGGUGGCUGCUCUGGAAAAGGGGAAGAGGCUGAGUUGAAAAUUCUUAUUCUGCUCAUUCCAUCCCGAUUCCCCCAUAAUUGACCUGGAGGCAAAGAGGAGCUCCAGCCUACACAGCCUACAGUCUGCCUUUUGAAAGGAGCCGGAGGGUUGCUAAAGAACUAUUGCUGUUUCUCAGAGUGGACGGCUGUGUAUCCUACGGAGAAGCCCAGUCUGGACUGUCCCCGGUGCGGAUGGCAGCUGGCGUGAUGGCACCCUAAUUGGAAGAGGAUCCUGUGACCUCCAAGCCAAUUAAAUGUUUCCUCAGGAGCCGGGAAGAGCUGUGUGAGGAAAACACUUGUAAUUGCUCUGGGUAGCAGGUGAACGGGUUUCUGCCGCCAGAAGUGGCUCCGGCGAUUGUAGGAGGUAUCGACCGUGGGUGUUGUCUGGGUCCGGAAAAUUGGACUCAGAAGCAAGAAAAGUGACAUUAGCAACCUGGCUUUUUCAACAGAAGCUCUAACGAGGCAGAGCGGGGCUGUUGGGGAAUAAUUACUUCCAACUAUCAGGAAAAGUUGCUUGGGCCAGAAAUAGGUGCCUUAGACACACAACUUUCAGAGGGACAGAGAAUUCAGGGCGGGGCGUGAGGUUUUGGGACCUCUACCCCCGGUCAUGCCACUGAACUGCAACCAAAACUGUCUCUUGAGACUGUUUCUUGGGGAUAGAGCUUUCUAGAUCUUGAUUGUGGUUGAUGGUCACACGACUAUAGGCAACUGUCAUUUCUGGCAUAAAACUGUAAGCUUCAAAGGGUUAGUUCUGCGACACAUAGAUUAUUCCUGAAUUGAAGCACACCCAAAACACCCGCACCCAGUGCCCCUUGAGCCUGCUCUCCUCACCCAGACCUGGGUGGGCCUCUGUGUGCUCUGAUGCUAACCUCAGGUCCUGCAGAAGUCUUCAAAGGAGGAGAAACACCAGCACAGGACUUUGAAGACUUGUGGACCUCUGAAACAGUGGUCUACCACUGUGGUUGCUCUCAGAACCCCUUGGGAGCUCUGACACCCCGGUCGCAGGCCCCACCCGGCCUGAGGAAGAAUCAGUAUGGUUGGGACCCAGCCCAGGACUUUUAAGCCCCUCCCCCUGCCCCAACCUCCACCUCCCGACAGUUUUGUGAACCACAGCUCUAAAGUUAUGAGGGGAUGGCUCGUAUUUUUCCAUCCUUCCGUAUCACAUCUUUGGAGAUAGUGUCAGAAGACUACGUUUGAGGUUCUGUGCCCUCCCCUCACCACCCCCACGCCAAUCCUGCAGGAUUUUCAUCUUGCUGCUGUGGUGGGUUGUCAACAGGCUCCUCCCUCCACUGCCCAAGGAUCCACUUGAAGCUUUGGCCCGGGGUUCCCACUGCCUCCCUGCACCUGCCACUCCUCCCUUGUCCCUGGGGCUGUAAGAACAUACCAUGCCCCCAGAGGAAGGAACAUGCAGUGGUGGGAAGACCUCUCCAGGGCCCUGGGCCACGGGCACAUCAGCCUCCCUGAACCUCAUCUCACCAGCAAGAUGUGGGAAAGAGAAAGGGGUCCCAAGGGAUCCACCUGGGAAACUCAAGCAGUCAAAGCCUAGCUCUCCCUCAUCCUGGCACCCUGGAGGGCAGGACCUCACAGCCUCUGGAUUGCCAGCGAGUCACUGCCCUGCUCCCGGAGGUCACGGUUUGCCCAAUGCGUUACUGCAAAGCCUAUUUCUCGUGGGAAAGGGGCUGAGCUAUUUUCAGGCGGGCAGGCUGAGUGCACUGCAGGCCUCCUCUGGAACAGCUGCCGGCUCCCGUGGGGAGGCUUCUGAAGUGACCCAGAUUUCUAAGCGAUCCUGUCCUCACAGAAAGGCUGUCACCAUGGCCAUGCCCACCUUCCCCCUGAGAGGAGGACCCUGAGCUGCCUUCCCACACAUUCUGGCACUUUCCAAUGCAGCCCUGACACCGGGGGCUCGGGCUGUCCCCUGUAGGGGUGAGAACUGGGGAGCUCAGUGGGGAGUGGUGUUGCAAU